rnacentral:rRNA from 1 species
CAGCCGCCACGGGAAUACGUAGGGUGCAAGCGUUAAUCGGAAUUACUGGGCGUAAAGCGUGCGCAGGCGGUUUUGUAAGACAGAGGUGAAAUCCCCGGGCUCAACCUGGGAACUGCCUUUGUGACUGCAAGGCUAGAGUACGGCAGAGGGGGAUGGAAUUCCGCGUGUAGCAGUGAAAUGCGUAGAUAUGCGGAGGAACACCGAUGGCGAAGGCAAUCCCCUGGGCCUGUACUGACGCUCAUGCACGAAAGCGUGGGGAGCAAACAGGAUUAGAUACCCGAGUAGUCCCUGUCUCUUAUAC